CACAGCAGCACCUCCGCGUCUCUGUUCCCCGACGAUCUUGCCCGCUGCACUUCCACCCGCGAGCUCACCCCGACGUCACUGCUCACUACCACCGCAGCGACCCGCGAUCCAGCUGCUGCUCGCCGAUCGCCGACGCCGCACCACUCUCCGCCCGACGCCGACCAACCUGCUGCCCGAAUCCCACGCCCAGCUCUGUUGGUUG
rnacentral:lncRNA from 1 species